AACGAACGCUGGCGGCAGGCCUAACACAUGCAAGUCGAACGCUCGUAGCAAUACGGGAGUGGCAGACGGGUGAGUAACGCGUGGGAAUCUACCCAAUGGUACGGAAUAACUCAGGGAAACUUGAGCUAAUACCGUAUGUGCCCGAAAGGGGAAAGAUUUAUCGCCAUUGGAUGAGCCCGCGUCGGAUUAGCUAGUUGGUGGGGUAACGGCCCACCAAGGCGACGAUCCGUAGCUGGUCUGAGAGGAUGAUCAGCCACACUGGGACUGAGACACGGCCCAGACUCCUACGGGAGGCAGCAGUGGGGAAUAUUGGACAAUGGGCGCAAGCCUGAUCCAGCCAUGCCGCGUGAGUGAUGAAGGCCCUAGGGUUGUAAAGCUCUUUCACCGGUGAAGAUAAUGACGGUAACCGGAGAAGAAGCCCCGGCUAACUUCGUGCCAGCCGCCGCAGUAAAAC
rnacentral:rRNA from 1 species